GAUGAACGCUGGCGGCGUGCCUAAUACAUGCAAGUCGAGCGAACAGAUGAGGAGCUUGCUCCUCUGACGUUAGCGGCGGACGGGUGAGUAACACGUGGAUAACCUACCUAUAAGACUGGGAUAACUUCGGGAAACCGGAGCUAAUACCGGAUAAUAUAUUGAACCGCAUGGUUCAAUAGUGAAAGACGGUUUUGCUGUCACUUAUAGAUGGAUCCGCGCCGCAUUAGCUAGUUGGUAAGGUAACGGCUUACCAAGGCAACGAUGCGUAGCCGACCUGAGAGGGUGAUCGGCCACACUGGAACUGAGACACGGUCCAGACUCCUACGGGAGGCAGCAGUAGGGAAUCUUGCGGAAUGGGCGAAAGCCUGACGGAGCAACGCCGCGUGAGUGAUGAAGGUCUUCGGAUCGUAAAACUCUGUUAUUAGGGAAGAACAAAUGUGUAAGUAACUAUGCACGUCUUGACGGUACCUAAUCAGAAAGCCACGGCUAACUACGUG
rnacentral:rRNA from 1 species